GGUAGUCCACGCUGUAAACGAUGUGUGCUAGACGUUGGGGAGCCUAGCUCUUCGGUGUCGCAGCUAACGCUUUAAGCACACCGCCUGGGGAGUACGGCCGCAAGGUUAAAACUCAAAGGGAAUUGACGGGGGCCCGCACAAGCGGUGGAGCAUGUGGUUUAAUUCGACGCAACGCGAAGAACCUUACCAGCCCUUGACAUGUCCCGUGUGGGCAGGGGAGACCCUGUUCUUCAGUUCGGCUGGCGGGAACACAGGUGCUGCAUGGCUGUCGUCAGCUCGUGUCGUGAGAUGUUGGGUUAAG
rnacentral:rRNA from 1 species